rnacentral:Y_RNA from 1 species
GGCUAGUCCGAAGGUAGUGAGUUAUCUCAGUUGAUCACAGUCAGUUACAGAUUGAACUCCUUGUUCUACUUUUUCCCCCUUCUCACUACUGCACUUGACUAGUCUUAA